AUUGAACGCUGGCGGCAUGCUUUACACAUGCAAGUCGAACGGUAACAGGCCGCAAGGUGCUGACGAGUGGCGAACGGGUGAGUAAUGCAUCGGAACGUGCCCAGUCGUGGGGGAUAACGCAGCGAAAGCUGCGCUAAUACCGCAUACGAUCUAUGGAUGAAAGCGGGGGACCGUAAGGCCUCGCGCGAUUGGAGCGGCCGAUGUCAGAUUAGGUAGUUGGUGGGGUAAAGGCUCACCAAGCCAACGAUCUGUAGCUGGUCUGAGAGGACGACCAGCCACACUGGGACUGAGACACGGCCCAGACUCCUACGGGAGGCAGCAGUGGGGAAUUUUGGACAAUGGGCGCAGGCCUGAUCCAGCAAUGCCGCGUGCAGGAAGAAGGCCUUCGGGUUGUAAACUGCUUUUGUACGGAACGAAACGGCCCUGGUUAAUACCCGGGGCUAAUGACGGUACCGUAAGAAUAAGCACCGGCUAACUACGUGCCAGCCGCCGCCGUAACAC
rnacentral:rRNA from 1 species